GGGGAUGUAGCUCAGUGGUAGAGUUUUUAGCUAACAUUCAAGGAGGCCUGGGUUCAAUCCUCAGCAUCACAA
rnacentral:tRNA from 1 species